CAGCAGCCACGGUAAUACGGAGGAUCCAAGCGUUAUCCGGAUUUAUUGGGUUUAAAGGGUGCGUAGGUGGCCUGUUAAGUCAGGGGUGAAAGACGGUAGCUCAACUAUCGCAGUGCCCUUGAUACUGAUGGGCUUGAAUGAACUAGAGGUAGGCGGAAUGUGACAAGUAGCGGUGAAAUGCAUAGAUAUGUCACAGAACACCAAUUGCGAAGGCAGCUUACUAUGGUUUUAUUGACACUGAGGCACGAAAGCGUGGGGAUCAAACAGGAUUAGAUACCCGCGUAGUCCCUGUCUCUUAUAC
rnacentral:rRNA from 1 species